UUUUAUUUGAGAGUUUGAUCCUGGCUCAGGAUGAACGCUGGCGGCGUGCCUAACACAUGCAAGUUGAGCGAUUUACUUCGGUAAAGAGCGGCGGACGGGUGAGUAACGCGUGGGUAACCUACCCUGUACACACGGAUAACAUACCGAAAGGUAUGCUAAUACGGGAUAAUAUAUUUGAGAGGCAUCUCUUGAAUAUCAAAGGUGAGCCAGUACAGGAUGGACCCGCGUCUGAUUAGCUAGUUGGUAAGGUAACGGCUUACCAAGGCGACGAUCAGUAGCCGACCUGAGAGGGUGAU
rnacentral:rRNA from 1 species